ACCCGGAAAUCCACUAGAAAGCCU
rnacentral:siRNA from 1 species